CUGUAACAAAUUUGCCUGAAGCAGGGGAGCUCUGAGAAGAAAAGGUGGAGAGGAACCAUACAUGUCUGUUGUCUUGUCCCACUCGGUGUGUUCUGAGAGAGGAUUAUCUUCUUCCUGAGGAAGCCAACAGAAGAAAACAUGACGUGAUUCGUUUCAACUCACAGCCAUUUCUGAAAGUCGUGGAGAUGGCAAAGGGCAGUCAUGUCUUUAAAGUCACAGAAGUGGGAGCUGGACUUCAGACUUUAGGAGAGUCAACAGCGGACUGUUGCUACCUCCUUGAAUUGAAAGAAGUCUGUAUCAGAAAUAUCAUGAUAGUAUCACAUACCAAUGUGUGAACAUCAAAUCCUUGGUAUCACAUGAGGUACCUGAGACUGCUUGGUUUUAAUGUUCUCUGGGAUCACACUUACUUUGUAUGCACUGCUGACAUUCAAAUAUCAGCCAGAUGUUGUUGUGAUUUUAUUUUCAACUCCACUGGCCAAAUUGUAUGAACCACUCCACGCUGAUCAGGUUCAUGCAACUUGUUGGGUGAAUCUUUCAGGCAAAAAUUAUCAUCUUAUGAUGACCUUCUUCCUAUGUCUCCCCAGUGAUUCAAUUUGAAUGUAUUCUGAUUUACAAAGGAAAUCAGGGUUUCUAAAUCUGAUUAAUUAC
ensembl:lncRNA